UACGUAGGGUGCGAGCGUUAAUCGGAAUUACUGGGCGUAAAGCGUGCGCAGGCGGUUCGUUGUGUCUGAUGUGAAAGCCCCGGGCUCAACCGUGGAAUGGCAUUGGAAACUGGCGAGCUAGAGUGUGGCAGAGGGGGGUGGAAUUCCGCGUGUAGCAGUGAAAUGCGUAGAGAUGCGGAGGAACACCGAUGGCGAAGGCAGCCCCCUGGGCUGACACUGACGCUCAGGCACGAAAGCGUGGGGAGCAAACAGG
rnacentral:rRNA from 1 species